rnacentral:lncRNA from 1 species
UUCAGAUUUGGGGAAUAUUCAUUGGUGGUCUAAUGAUCAGGGUUCCUGUGUCCAUGCUCAUGCACUUAUGGGCUUUCUUCUGUGACUAUGCCUUACGCUGCUGGUGUGGUGAGAGGGCCAGAUGCUGUUCUUAUUACUCCCCUCAAAGUAUGCCUGCACUUGUUGGUCAUCUCCUUGAUUUCUGUACCACAUGACUGGUCAGAGAUAGUAAGAGCCUAGUAUGAGUUAGAGGUAGGGAUAAGAAGUGGCUCCACUUUGUUGUUUAGACUAUGCUGCAUAUACAGCCAGGCUAGAUUUUAAACUUCAUUUUGCACCAGAGAUAACUGGGCAGGGCUAAGCCAAUAAAAUCAAAGAAACAAAAACCCUAGCACUUUGCAUUUUACUUCCCUUUACGUGUGUGUGUGUGUGUGUGUGUGUGUGUGUGUGUGUGUGUGUGUGUAGCCCAUCAGGAGCCUCUGAGGAGGGAAGGUUGUCAGAGCAGAAUAUGUGUAUUUUGGAUCCUUUAGCCAAAUAUGUCAACAUCCCAGCAACACUUCCAACAAGUAUAUUACAAGCAAUGUCUACAAUAAGAGAGCUGGGUUUAUUUGCUGGCUUAACUUAUUCAGGCCAUUUAUUUGUUCACAUAAUUGGGAAUUGGCCCCACUGUGGCUGCCCAUGGUAUGUCCCAGGCAGGUCAUUUCAGAGGUGAAACUAUGUUACACUGUUACAGAAAGUAUGAAGCAUGUGCUUUGAAAGUGGCUUUCACUUAUUUAUGACAUUAAUGUACAACAAAAAGGAAUAUCAUUUCAUAGUGACUCUGGCUAAUGUGUUAUUAGCUGGUCAUUAGACACUAGUGCCUGUACCUUUGUAUAAUACUUCAGUUUUACAGGAUGCAACAUUCUCUUAAUAGUGGUGUUAUUGGAACAUUUUUAUUGAACUAUUCAGUGUCCAGCUUUGAGGUUAUGGCAGUGUUUUAGAUCUGUCAUUAAUUAAAUAUAUAUUGGACUCUAGCUCUUUGUCUUAUCGAAGAGAAAGUUUAUUAUAAUGAUUAAGGAUCUAGUUCAUAUAGGUCUAUUAAAGGAUCAUUAGUUAAAACAGAAUUUGGAAAUAUGGCUUAUUUCAAGCACAUGGAAAUUUCCAGGCCAGGGGUCAAAUCCGAGCUGUAGCUGCAGGCCUAUGCCAUAGUCACAGCAACAUGGGAUCUGAGCCAUGUCUGUGACCUAUGCUGCAGCUCACGGAAAUGCCAGAUCCUUAAUCCACUAAGUGAGGCCAGGGAUCAAACCCACAUCCUCAUGGAUACUAGUUGGAUUCAUAACCCACUGAGCUACAACAGGAACUUCUUAUAAAAUUUUGACACAAUAAAAUAAUUGUUUGAUCUAUUUCUUAAGAAUAAGAGUUUAAUGCUUUUAAGGAACUAUAAUUUUUAUCCAAUUUUAGUCAUAUGGUUGCUCCUUUAACAUUUUUAUAAUUCCAAAAGAAUUCCCAAGCUGAUAUAAAGAUUAUAAGAAAUACAUAAAAAUGAAACUAUUAGAAAUAUUUUGUCACAGGGUAUAAUUAUUACCUAUAAAUUAUAAUGACUGACAGAUAUGAUAUAGGUAAAAUUUUUCAAUAAAUUGAGAAGAAAGAAACAUCUUUGUGGGGUUUUCAUUCCAGAACUUGAAUGGAUUCUAAUGGGACAAACUCCUAAAUUGUUUUUUCCCACAACAACAUGAAGAAUUUUUUGCUCCAGUACCAUCAAUAAGAGAUCAUUAGUAAUUGCUUACCGCUAAGGCUAUCUUUAUUGAAACUGAUGGUAAAAUUCUUUUAUUUCCAAAUAUACAUGUAUGUCCCAUGAUGAGUAAAAGACAGCUUUUCUUAAUAAUAUUCUACCUCUUUGUGGUAUUGUUGGUAAACUUUCAGGAAAUGGCAGAGUAGCUCCUUCUUGAGGCUGAGGAAGCAACGCCUGUAACCAGAGUUCAGGAUAGCUCACUGGAGGUAAACUAAAGCCCACAAAAAUUAAACACUUGUCCACGGUGAACUAGCAAAUCAUUAGGCUCAAAUCCUGUGGUUCCUGAGACAAGCCCUCUUUUUGCUCUCGUUUGUGAUGUUAUAUUCUUCCCUGUGGGACCUUCUGAAGGUACCUCUCAGUGUGUGCUUUGGCUAAAUUGAUUGAGGCUGUUACCUGGACCUUGAAAUGCAUGUUCCACUUUUUGGUGCUACACAGACUCAGAUGUAAAAUCUGAACUGAGUCCUUAUGACCACAUACUGACUUCAAUCCUUUUGGACGACUUCAGCUUAAUAUGACUGGAAAUUCCUUGCACGGAUCAUGAGUAACAUGUGACCCCCAAACUCCUCUCAGUUCAUUAUAAUCUUUCAUCUCUUCUAGAACAUGUAAACCGGAUGCUUUUUCCAUUUAUGCUGCCUUAUAUUUUAAUCAUUUAAAGACAUAUUUAACUGUAUAAAAUGAAGGUUGCAACUGAAGGAGAAAGAGUAUUCAAAGGUGUUUGCACUGCUCUUUCUUGGCUUACUUACUCAAGGUGAUUUCACUCCAGAGUUACCAACUCACUGCUAAUGAGAUUGUCUGAAAUCUGCCAGCCCACCCCAUUCUUACUUCAGGUCCCAUGCUACUGAAAUUUUGCUCAUGGCAUAGGCAUUGUUCUUCCUUGUAUCCAUGGCUGGGUCUGUUAAGACCUUUCAUACAAUAGCCUCAGAACUCUGGUUGCAAUUAGAGUUUUGAUUAGCUGUCAGUGAUGUCAUAGCCAUGGUUAUUUUAAAUCCACUGUGCUAAGUGUUUUCCUUUUCUUAAUGUACUGUAGAAAUUCCAUUUCUUGACAGCAAUAAGACACUUCAGGCAGUGUGUUUCAGGGCCAAUAUUGCACUUCUCAUGGAGUUAAGACACUUGGCCUUCAGCCUCAUGACUUAUAACACAAUCUGAGUUAUGCUAUAAUCACCCAGAUAUAUACAUGGCCUGUUGUGUUUUAUUGCUUAAAUGGAACCUGUCCCAGCGCCUCAUCAACUGACAAGGUGGGAAUAUAGCCCCAGAUGACUGUUCAGAUUCCCACUGGGAGUUGCAUUUGGUCAGAUCUCCUUCCUCCUUUUCGAGCGUUUCUCUGAAACUCUGGAGUCUUUGGUACAUUUACCACACAACAGAAAUCAAACCUUCCAGCCUCUCAGGUCUCACUGCCAGACUGCCCAGUAUAGGUUGCCAGAUAUCUCCCCCUCAACACAUUUAUUGAACUUUAAAACAGCAGAACAGCAUUGAAUGAAGUCCAGUAAUUUUUAUAGGAUAUAUUUUAGUCACUAGACUUUGAAGACUAUUCCAACAUUAAUUAUAAAGUUUCUGUGUCUGGAUAACAUAUUGUUAACAGUUAUUUUGCAAGUGCUAAUGGCGAGAUGGAAUAUUUCCAAUAAUUUUAUUGAGGAAGUGGCAAUUAAAAUGUUGAACACUACAGGGUAUGUACAAAAUAAAAAUAAUCUUGCAAACAUGGCACUACGUGACAAAAAUGGGUGUAUACUCUCUAUUUUCAAAUAGAUAUGAUGAUUUUGCACUUCCAUCUCUUUGGGUUGAAGGAAGAUCAAGAAACUCCUUUUUUGUUUGUUUGUUUGUUUUUGAAUAUUUAAAGGCAGUGUAAAAUGCCAGCUCUCUGAGUUGGUUUGAUAUUAUUUACCACAACAUCAUGAAAUGAUUUUAAGACAAGUUGUUAUCCAUAUUUCUUUCAAUAACAAAUAUCACUAAAAUGAGAUCAUUGGCUUAGUGUGACAAUUUAUGACUCUGGAAGUGCAUGAGCUGUCUUUUCUUAAGACUUUCAAAGACCUCAUCUAGCAUGGUUUUCCCGCCAAGCUCUCUGGUGUGACCACCCAUCUUUCAAAUGAACCCUACCACAGUCAGAGCCCUGAAAGCAGAAUGGUGGAGAGUGGGAGGUAGCAAGCAGGAUGGAGAGAACUCCAGUACAUGUGCUGUCAGGGGCAAGAGAUAGAGGGCUGAAGGGAUUGUCCAAGGUUACAAGGCUGGGGACCCAUAGACAGUGCAUGUGGACUCUGGGUCCAGAUGUGUGUCAUCUUCAUCAUAUUGCUUCCAAUCAUUUAAAAUUCAGAGUGAAAAUUAUUAACUGCAGCAUCAAGACCACUGGAAUCAAAACAAACUGAUUUUCCUUCAACUUGAUGCAAUUACAUUUCAGAGGGAUUUGAGACCAAGAAUACAUUCGCUUUCCAAUUUUACUUGAGCACCGUUUCCUUUUUUAGCAUAUUCUGAUUGGUGUGUAACUUAGGGCUAGGUUUCCCUUACUAAUUUGGUGAAAUAAUUUUUUUACAUGAACUGUGAUUUAUAUUUGCCACUAUGCUUAGAUAUAUAAUUGGAAACUUAUCAAUACUGGCUAAUGAUAUCAAACUAUUUGAUAGCACUAUGUGAAGUUUCCUGCUAAAAAUAUUUUCCUUAAGGUUAUGUUUUUCUGGGAUCCAUGUGUAUUUCCCCAUUCUUCCCUUGUGGAUGAAAUCUGAAAAAAACUUUCUCUCUGAAAGACAAUACAAGAGUAGUGGCAUCAGGAAAAAGCUUUUCUUCUCUCAUGUAAGAACAAUAGUAGACAUAUAGAAACAUAAAGCCAAGGUAUUUUAUUUAAUUAAUUAAUUAAUUUAUUGUUUCUGCUUCCUUUUUUUUUUUUUUUUUUUUUUUUUUUUNUUUUUUUUUAUUAGGGCCGCAUGCGCAGCAUAUGGAAGUUCCCAGGCUAGGGGUAGAAUCAGAGCUGCAGCUGCAGCCUGUGCCGCAAUCACAGCCACUCAGGAUCUGAACCGCAUCUGGGGCCUACACCACAGCUCAUGGCAAUGCUAGAUCCUUAACCCACUGAGCAAGGCCAGGGAUCAAACCCACAUCCUCAUGGUUACUAGUUGAGUUCAUUACCACUGAGCCACAGCAGGAACUCCAAUCCAAGCUAUUUUAAAAAACAUUUUCAGGAGUUCCUUGGUGGCUCAGCAGAUUAAAGAUCCAGCUUUGUCAAUGCUGUGGCUCAGGUCACUUCUGUGAUGCGGGUUCUAUCCCUGGUCAGGGAACUUCCACGUGCCACAGGUGU